AGGCUACUAAAACAAAAUACUGUAAACUUGGUAAACCACAGAAAUUUAUUUCUCAUGGUUUUGGAGGAUGGAAGUCCAAGAUCAAGGUGUCGUCAUGAUUGGGUUGUGAUGAGAACCCUCUUUUAGGUUGCAGACAGCUGACUUCUUUUAUGCUCACAAGGCUGAGAGUGAGUUAGCUCUCUGGCCUCUUCUUACAGGUGCCCUAAUAUUAUUCGUGACCUAAUUACUUCCCCAAAGUCCCACCUCCAGAUACCAUAUUGGGGUGGUGUUCUAAUACAUAAAUUUGGAGGUGGGAGUGGGGGAAGGCACACAUCUUCAGUCCAUGACACCAACUAUAUGCCAUAUACAAGAAAUUUACUUUAUAUGUAACAGUGUAUGUAGGCUGAAAAUAAAAGAUGAAAAAAAAAUAUGUCUUGCAAAUACAAAUUCUGUUUUCUGGGAAAAAAGCAGAAGUGUCUAUAUUAAUAUCAGAUUAGUAAAUUUCAGAGAAAAGAAAAUUACAGGAGACAAAAAAACACGUUACAUAAUGAUAAAAGAGUUAUUCCACCAAGAAAACCUAGCAAUCCUAAACAUGUAUGCACCGAACAACAAAGUUGAAAAAUAUUGAUAAAAAUGCAAAAGCUGAUAAAACUGAAAAGAGAAAUAGAGAAAUUCAUAAUUAUGGUUAGAGACUUCAGUAUCCCCCUCUCAACAACCAAUGGGACUAAACAGAAAACGAGUAGAGGUAUAGACGGACUUAACAAUACCAUAAACCAGAAUCUAAUCAACAUUUACAGACCACCCCACUCCACAAAACAGAAUACACAUUCUUUUCAAGUGGCCAUGGAACAUAUACCAAGACAGAUCACAUCCCAGACUACAAAAUAAAUCUCAACAAAUUGAAAAGAGUUGGAAUCAUUCAAAACAUUUUGUCUGACCAAAAUGGAAUCAAGCUAGAAAUCAAUAACAGAAAUAUAAUGGAAAAGUCUCCAACUGUUUGGAAACAAAGCAUUACCUUUUCAUAUAAUCUAAGGUCAAAGAUGAAAGUCUCAAUGGAAAUACAAAAGAAAUCAAACUGAAUGAAAUUGAAAAUGCAGCAUAUUAAAAUUUAUGGUUUGGUAGCUAAAGCCAUGCUUAGAGGGAAAUUUAUAGCAUUGAAUGCUUAUAUCAAAAAAGAGAAAAAAAGUCAUAAGUCAAUAAGCUCCCAUCUCAGGACCUUAGAAAAAUAAGAUCAAAAUAAAUGCAAAGCAUGGAAAAUAGCAACAACAAAAGACAAAAAAAAAAAAAAAAGAAAGAAAUGAAGUAAGAUAUAUCACUAUAGAUGCUGCAGAUAUUUCUUAAAAAUAAGAGUGUACUGGUGUUCCCGUCCUGGUGCAGCAGAAACGAAUCUGACUAGGAACCAUGAGGUUGCGGGUUCUAUCCCUGGCCUCACUCAGUGGGUUAAGGAUCCAGCACUGCCGUGAGCUGUGGUGUCAGUCACAGAUGCGGCUCAGAUCUGGUGUUGCUGUGGCUGUGGUGUAGGCAGACAGCUGUAGCUCCAAUAUGACCCCUAGCCUGGGAACUUCCACAUGUCUCUUGUGUGGCCUUAAAAAGCAAAGGAAAAGGGGAUACUGGAGUUCCCAUCAUGGCUCAGUGGGUAACCAGCCUGAAUAGUAUCCUUGAGGUUGUGAGUUUUAUUCCUGGCCUCAAUCAAUGGGUUAAGGAUCCUGUGUUGUCGUGAGCUUCGGUGUACAUCACAGACAUGGCUUGGAUCCCAUGUUGCUGUGGCUAUGUUGUUGGCUGGCAGCUACAGCUCCGAUUUAACCCCUAGCUUGGGAAUCUCCCUAUGCCACAAGUGUGGCCCUAAAAAACCAACAACAAAAAAAAGGAUACUACAAACAACUCCACCCACUUAAAUUUGACAACUUAGAUGACAUGAACUUGUUCUUCAAAAACUAUCAACUAAUUCAACUCAAUAUAAAAUACAUAAAUUGAAUAACCCUAUACUUUUGAAGAAAUUAAAUUUGUAAUUUAAAAACUCCCAGUUUAUAGGAGUUCCUGCUGUGGCACAACUGGAUGGGUGGCGUCUCUGCAGUGCCAGGAUAUAGGUUCCAUCCCCAGCCUAUCACAGUGGGUUAAAGGAUUCAGCAUUGCUGCAGCUGCACUCAGAUCUGAAGGUUGAAACUGUGGCUCAGAUCUCUCUGGCCCAGGAACUCCAUAUGCUGUAGGGUGGCCAAAACAAAAAAACAAAACAAUUUUUUUAAAAACCUCCCAAAUUAUAAAUCUCCCGGCCCAGGUAGCUUCACUGGAGAAGUCUAGAUAAGCACCAAUUCAUUAACUAAAUCUGUGUGGAGCUGGCAGAUGGAUAGGAGCAUAGACCAAUAG
rnacentral:lncRNA from 1 species